CGGGUCUAGUGGCGCACGGGUGCGUAACGCGUGGGAAUCUACCCUUGGGUUCGGAAUAACAGUUAGAAAUGACUGCUAAUACCGGAUGAUGACUUCGGUCCAAAGAUUUAUCGCCCAGGGAUGAGCCCGCGUAGGAUUAGCUAGUUGGUGGGGUAAAGGCCUACCAAGGCGACGAUCCUUAGCUGGUCUGAGAGGAUGAUCAGCCACACUGGGACUGAGACACGGCCCAG
rnacentral:rRNA from 1 species